rnacentral:rRNA from 1 species
AGGCUCGUCAAUCGAAAUGAGUACAAUUUAAAUCCUUUAACGAGUACCAAUUGGAGGGCAAGUCUGGUGCCAGCAGCCGCGGUAAUUCCAGCUCCAAUAGCGAAUAUUAAAUUUGUUGCAGUUAAAAAGCUCGUAGUUGGAUCCAAGGUUAGGCAUGCCUGUCUGUUCUUAGUAGCAUGACUGUGUGUGUCUGCCUUUAUUAGUUGAAUGUUCAUUAUGGUGGUCUUCAUCGACUGCUAUGAUGUGCUCAACACGUUUACCUUGAAAAAAUCAGAGCGAUCAAGGCAGGCCUUCGUGCUUGUAUGUUGUUGCAAGGAAUAAUAGAAUAGGACUUCGGUUCUAUUUUGUUGGUUUUGAGAAUUGAAGUAAUGAACAAUAGAGACAGUCGGGGGCAUUUGUAUGGUGGCGUUAGAGGUGAAAUUCUGAGAUCGUCGCCAGACAAACUACUGCGAAAGCAAUUGUCAAGGAUGUCUUCAUUAAUCAAGAACGAAAGUCAGAGGUUCGAAGACGAUCAGAUACCGUCCUAGUUCUGACCAUAAACGAUGCCGACCUACAAUCGGGGGUGGUUUAUUAUAUUGACCCUCCCGGCUGUCCUCAGGAAACUUUAAGUUGGUUCUGGGGGGAAUAUGGUCUCAAGACUGAAACUUAAAGGAAUUGACGGAAGGGCACCACCAGGAGUGGAGCCUGCGGCUUAAUUUGACCCAACACGGGGAAUCUCACCCGGUCCGGACACUGGUAGGAUGGACAGAUUGAUAGCUCUUUCUUGAUUCAGUGGGUGGUGGUGCAUGGCCGUUCUUAGUUGGUGGAGUGAUUUGUCUGGUUAAUUCCGAUAACGAACGAGACUCUGUCCUGCUAAAUAGUCCAGUGGCAUCAAUCACUAUGUGAUUACAGCUGCUGUUACUUCUUAGAGGGAUUCGCGGAUUUAAACCGCAAGAAAUAGAGCAAUAACAGGUCUGUGACGCCCUUAGAUGUCCGGGGCCGCACGCGCGCUACAUUGACAGUAGAAGCGAGUAUUUCUACCUGGUUCGAAAGAAUUGGGAAAUCUUCGAAUUACUGUCUCCACAGGGAUUGAGGUUUGCAAUUUUGCCUCAUGAACGAGGAAUUCCCAGUAGGCGCAAGUCAUCAGCUUGCGUCGAUUACGUCCCUGCCCUUUGUACACACCGCCCGUCGCUACUACCGAUUGAGUGCAUUAGUGAGGACCUCGGAUUGAGAACAUAGUGGCGCAAGUUACUCUGUUUUCGAACAGUGGUUCAAAUUUGUGCAUUUAGAGAUAGUAAAAGUCGU